AAUAUGGUGGUCAUUGAUCCUCUUCUCUUCUUUUAUUCUUGUUAGAGUACAGGUAUUAAUGUUGCAUUGGCUAGUCCACUGUUGAGUCGUUUUGAUGUUGUACUGGUAUUACUUGAUAGUUAUAAUGAGAAAUGGGACCUAUUUGUUUUGUCAUUUGUGUUGUCAAGAAAAGAUAGCAAGAAUGAUAAAGGACCAGAUGAACUCACCAAUCUUGAUUGGAGCUUUGAUACUUAAAUUAAAUUUUAUUACUUUUGAUAAGUGAAGUUUGUCUCUUUAUCUUUUGUCAACAACAUCCAAUAUAACUUUUUAUUAGAAAACUAGCAAUAGAUCUGGCCAGUGGAUAUUAUCAGGCAACUUAUGCAACAGAUUGAAGUAUAGGAACUAGAAUCUAUAAUUAUGAUACAAGUGUAGUGAGCUCUCCUUUGUCUGUCUUGAUGCUUCAAAUUGAAUUUAACACAAUAUAUGGCAGCUCUCAGAGCUCUGCUAUAUACAUUGUACAGUGCAGGUAAGGGAGAGAGAGGAAGUGGGUUGGAAGUGCAUGUACGUACCUGUAAGAUAAACGGAACA